rnacentral:lncRNA from 1 species
ACUGCUGGCCAGCUGAAUCCAGAGUCCUGCUCCUCAGAGGUAGGCAUUGGGCCCCGCGGGGGCAGGUGGGCGACAGAGAACCCCAGGCCUGCUUUCCUGACCGUCCAGGUCUGCACUCCCCGCAGGCGCCAGCAGGGCCAGGUGUCCAACCAAACCACAACUUCCCCAUUCUGGGGUGACCACCUGCCGCCUCAAGCCUCCUACCUCCUGUUCCUGGGAUUGCUGCCUGCGGGCCCCACCUCUGUUUAUCCCUUUUCUUUAGCUCGAAUCUGCUGCUCAGCCCCAGCUGUUAGCUACAGGUUUAACCGGUUUUCCAGAUCACCUGUCCAAGUCAACCUCUUAGCAGAUAUGCGGGGCCCUCCCCAGAUAAAUCUCUGUGCCCCGCCUCUGGCAUCUUGUAAGAGUAGAAACUGUGUUAACAAUAUGAUCCCACAGCUGCCGCUGACACGGGUCCUGUUGUCCCACGCUCACGGCAACCCCGUGACGUUUGUCGGAUGUACAUGUACCCACUUCCCAGAUAAAGAAGGGCAAAAACAGAAGGUGACGUUCUUGGGAAGGGAUGAAACCGGCUCACGUCCGACAGAUGAGUGACUGUCUUUUGGGUGCGUUGUUUCUGCUUUAACGCGUAAAUCCAUCACGGUUUCUUGUUAUUU